rnacentral:rRNA from 1 species
UACGAGGGGGGCAAAUGUUGUUCGGAAUCACUGGGCGUAAAGGGUGCGUAGGCGGGUCUUUUAAGUCAGGGGUGAAAUCCUGGAGCUCAACUCCAGAACUGCCUUUGAUACUGAGGAUCUUGAGUUCGGGAGAGGUGAGUGGAACUGCGAGUGUAGAGGUGAAAUUCGUAGAUAUUCGCAAGAACACCAGUGGCGAAGGCGGCUCACUGGCCCGAUACUGACGCUGAGGCACGAAAGCGUGGGGAGCAAACAGG